ACAGGAAAAUAAUGAAGAAACAUUGACAGCUGUUACAGAGGAGGAAGCAACAGAGACACUUUAUGAGAGUGAUGAUGGAAAUGCAGAGGAAGAGGGUCCAGCCACUUCUCCAACAAACCUUUCCUCACUCCCUGUAAAGCAGCUGUACAAGACCUAUUUGAUCAAGAAA